UACGAAGGGGGCGAGCGUUGUUCGGAUUUACUGGGCGUAAAGGGCGCGUAGGCGGCGUGAGAAGUCAGGCGUGAAAGCCCCGGGCUCAACCUGGGAGGUGCGCUUGGGACUCUCAUGCUGGAGUUCGGGAGAGGAGCGUGGAAUUCCCAGUGUAGAGGUGAAAUUCGUAGAUAUUGGGAAGAACACCGGUGGCGAAGGCGGCGCUCUGGACCGAGACUGACGCUGAGGCGCGAAAGCGUGGGGAGCAAACAGG
rnacentral:rRNA from 1 species